rnacentral:rRNA from 1 species
AGUCCAGACUCCUACGGGAGGCAGCAGUGGGGAAUAUUGCACAAUGGGGGAAACCCUGAUGCAGCGACGCCGCGUGAGCGAUGAAGUAUUUCGGUAUGUAAAGCUCUAUCAGCAGGGAAGAAAAUGACGGUACCGGACUAAGAAGCCCCGGCUAACUACGUGCCAGCAGCCGCGGGAAUACGUAGGGGGCAAGCGUUAUCCGGAUUUACUGGGUGUAAAGGGAGCGUAGACGGCUGUGCAAGCCAGAUGUGAAAGCCCAGGGCUCAACCCCGGGACUGCAUUUGGAACUGUGUGGCUGGAGUGUCGGAGAGGCAGGCGGAAUUCCUAGUGUAGCGGUGAAAUGCGUAGAUAUUAGGAGGAACACCAGUGGCGAAGGCGGCCUGCUGGACGAUGACUGACGUUGAGGCUCGAAAGCGUGGGGAGCAAACAGGAUUAGAUACCCGCGUAAA